AUGCCAGACUCCUACGGGAGGCAGCAGUGGGGAAUAUUGCACAAUGGGGGAAACCCUGAUGCAGCGACGCCGCGUGAGUGAAGAAGUAUUUCGGUAUGUAAAGCUCUAUCAGCAGGGAAGAAAAUGACGGUACCUGACUAAGAAGCCCCGGCUAACUACGUGCCAGCAGCCGCGGUAAUACGUAGGGGGCAAGCGUUAUCCGGAUUUACUGGGUGUAAAGGGAGCGUAGGUGGCAUGGUAAGCCAGAAGUGAAAACCCGGGGCUCAACUCCGAGGAUUGCUUUUGGAACUAUCAAGCUGGAGUGCUGGAGGGGUAAGCGGAAUUCCUAGUGUAGCGGUGAAAUGCGUAGAUAUUAGGAGGAACACCGGUGGCGAAGGCGGCUUACUGGACAGAAACUGACACUGAGGCUCGAAAGCGUGGGGAGCAAACAGGAUUAGAUACCCCGGUA
rnacentral:rRNA from 1 species